GAGAUAUCUCUCUCUCUCUCUCUCUCUCUCUCUCUCUCUCUUUCUCUGUAUAUAUAUAUAGAUAUACAGAGAGAGAGAGAGAGAGAGAGAGAGAGAGAGAGAGGAAAGUGAGCG
rnacentral:miRNA from 1 species